AACGAACGCUGGCGGCAUGCCUAACACAUGCAAGUCGAACGAGAUAUUCGGGUCUAGUGGCGCACGGGUGCGUAACGCGUGGGAAUCUGCCCUUUGGUUCGGAAUAACAGUUGGAAACGACUGCUAAUACCGGAUGAUGACGAAAGUCCAAAGAUUUAUCGCAAGAGGAUGAGCCCGCGUAGGAUUAGCUAGUUGGUGUGGUAAAGGCGCACCAAGGCGACGAUCCUUAGCUGGUCUGAGAGGAUGAUCAGCCACACUGGGACUGAGACACGGCCCAGACUCCUACGGGAGGCAGCAGUGGGGAAUAUUGGACAAUGGGCGAAAGCCUGAUCCAGCAAUGCCGCGUGAGUGAUGAAGGCCUUAGGGUUGUAAAGCUCUUUUACCCGGGAUGAUAAUGACAGUACCGGGAGAAUAAGCUCCGGCUAACUCCGUGCCAGCCGCCGCAGUAA
rnacentral:rRNA from 1 species